GCUGCGGGGUGCUGGCCCGGCGUCCGCAGGCUGGGCUGAGGGUGGAGGGUUUCUGCUUGAGUCGAGGGCCGCGAGACAGCGCCUUAUGAUGGAGCGGGCGAAGAUGGCGGAGGAGAGCCUGGAGACGGCGGCGGAGCAUGAGCGGAUCCUGAGGGAGAUCGAGAGCACAGACACGGCCUGCAUCGGGCCCACGCUCAGGUCUGUCUAUGAUGGUGAGGAACAUGGGCGCUUCAUGGAGAAGUUAGAGACUCGCAUCUGCAACCAUGACCGAGAAAUUGAGAAAAUGUGCAACUUUCACUACCAGGGCUUUGUGGACUCUAUCACUGAGCUGCUGAAGGUGCGGGGAGAAGCCCAGAAGCUCAAAAACCAAGUGACGGAUACUAAUAGAAAACUGCAACAUGAGGGCAAGGAACUGGUAAUAGCAAUGGAAGAGCUGAAGCAGUGUCGACUACAACAAAGAAAUAUUUCUGCCACUGUUGAUAAGUUAAUGCUGUGUCUUCCAGUCCUAGAGAUGUACAGCAAACUGAGGGACCAGAUGAAAACUAAAAGGCACUACCCUGCUCUGAGGACUCUGGAGCACCUGGAGCACACCUAUCUGCCUCAAGUGAGCCACUAUCGAUUCUGCCAGGUGAUGGUGGACAACAUCCCCAAGCUGGGGGAGGAGAUAAAGGAUGUUUCCAUGUCUGAUCUCAAAGACUUCUUGGAGAGCAUCCGCAAGCAUUCGAACAAAAUUGGAGAGACUGCCAUGAAGCAACAAAGAAGCCUGGAUAACAUUGUGUUGCAACAGCCUGAAAUAGGUAGCAAGAGAAAAUCUAAGAAAGAUGUUUAUACAAUCAUUGAUGCAGAGAUGGAGAGCACAAACCCGAGGUCUGAACAGGAUUCAGGAAUUCUGGAUGUUGAAGAUGAGGAAGAGUGUGACAACAAAGAAGACUCCAGGGAGAUAAAGAGGCCCACAGAGGGAAGGAGAAUGCUUUCUGCCUGGUGGCCUCCACUAAGGACACCUUGUCGGGAAGCCACUGCAACAUGAACAGCUAUAUUUUAGGUAAUUGGACUGGAGAAUUCGAUACUACGAUGGAGCAGCUGAGAGUGGCCAUUAUCACAGGUGUGGAAAACUCAGGUGGAUACCUGAAAGACUGACGUGACCCGUGGAAGAUGGACGAAGAAGGCCCAAAGUGUCUGCAGGGGCUAGACCUGAGAAAAGGAAAGUGAAUGGGGGUGAUGGAGUCAUUGAACCAUGAAAAAGAGUCUCCUUGUCAGCAAUGAUUCAGAUGGAGAAACUAGUUGACUGAGGGAAAGAGUUGGUGAAGUCUUGGUGGAAGGGUGUUGUUUCUUGCUGUGUUGUCGCUAUUGAAUACGUCUGUUACUGGUGAUCAUACUGUUCCCUAGGCAAAGAUGGUCACAUGACAAUCGAGGCAGUGAUGUUCAGGCUUUGCAUGAUGAACUAUUUAGCAAUCAGCCCUGAAAUUUAGAUAAAUUCCCCCCUUCAUUACUGUGCAAAACCUAUCAAAGAUUUUUGGUCAUUAUUUUUCUAAUUUUAAUUGGGCUCUAAAAUGUGGUCCAUAGGAAUUUCUUUGGGAUUUUUUCGUUGGUUAUGCGGAGAAGCAUUAUAGCUUUGAGACUGAUUUGCUUCUGCAUGUCUUCUUUGAAUUUUGACUUGUAUACUUUGAAUUAAGAAGGGGAGGGCCUGUGGGGAAUUAUGGUUUUGGCCUGGCAUACAAUUGGCAUGAGAAGCAUGUGCCAGUGGACUUUUAGUUUAGAGACCUUAGCUCCUGAAGCACUGUGUCCCUUUCAGUGUGUCCCAACACUUAAAGAACUCCCUCAGACACUUGAACAUUCAAGCAACCUGUGUUCUCUGUCUUCCCUAGAAGUCAGGAAAACAUCCAGAAGCUUGGCAAACAUUUAAUUAAUUAGACAUUAAUUCUGUGUACCCUUAUAGCUUGCAGAUGUCAUUGUAUCCUGGCAAUUACAAUUGUAUUCUCUCUGGAAACUUCCAUCAUAUCCUGCUUCUGAUAAUGAUGUUAAAAUUCUUGCUGCAUGCAAUAAAUUUGUCACAUCCCUAAUUUUCAUGUAGCCCCUCUGACCUGUGCCUAAAAGACAAAAUUUCUUUUGACCAUAAUCGGGUAUCCCUGGCUUGGUAAGUAAGUGCUGAUGUUUACACCAAGACAAAGAACUUUUAAUUCCACUAAGGCUUGCUGAAAUUUACUGAUUCUAUUUUGAAGCCCCAACCCCUUCUCAUUCACUGCCCUUUCCUAAAUCAGUCACCCACCUCCACAUCCAUCAUGGUAGUCAGAACAAGGGAAUUAUUAAAAUAGAAUAGGCACAUAUGAAGAAAUGACUCAGGGAGCAGAGGCUAGCACAUAGGCACAUGAAUCUGCAUUCAAAUCUUAUGAAAGAAGGGGGAGAUAGAAAGACCUGGAGAGGACAGGAGUUCCACAAUGAGAGCAACAGCACCAAAAAAUCUGAGCACAGGUGUCUCAGAUACUCCAACCAAGAAUCAUGCAUGGUGAUAACUUAGAAUCCCGGCACAGCUGUAGCCCAUGGCAGUUCAGUGUCCAAGUGGGUACCCUAGUAAGGGGAACAGGGAUUGUCUCUGACAUGAACUUAGUGGCUGUCUCUAUGAUCCCUGACGGGGGAGCAUCCUUACCAGGCCACAGAGGAAGACAAUGCACCCAGUCCUGAUGAGACCUGAUAGGCUAGGGUCAGAGGGAAGAGGAAGAGGACCUCCCCUAUCGGUGGACUUGGGGCAGGGCAUUGGAGUAGAUGAGGGGAGAGGGUGAGAUUGGGAAAGGAUGAGGGAGGCUGGCUACAGCUGGGAUACAAAGUGAGUAAACUGUAAUUAAUUUAAAAAUAAAUUUAAAAAACAGGUAAAAGUAAAUAAAAAUAAAAGUAAAUAAAAUUUUAGGUGAAGAAAUGGUGAAAAUAUGAAGCAAACAAAAUGACUGUUAAGAUACUAAACUCCAUGCAGAAGAGCAGGUACUGAAUGACUCAUUUCAUUGUAGCUGAUAACACUUUGUAUUAAUGUAAUUACUAUCAAAAUAUAACGAUGGCUAGCAGAGGCUGGAGUUUAUUGUUUAUUGUUAUAUAUUAGUUUGCGAGUAUUUUUGCAUCAAUGUUCAUAAUAUCACUUUUAGUAUUUUGUUCACCAUCUCAAUUUUGUUUGAGUAAGAUGAAAUAAAAUAUAACUAAAGUCUCAAAAUUGCCUUUUAUUCAGAUGGUAGUGGCAUAUGGCUUUUUUUCUUAGCACCCAGGAGCAAAGACUGUGGUCUAUAGUCAUACCACCCUGAAAUACCCAAUUUCAUGUAUUUUUUAUUUUACUAUAUCUUUUUGUUUUAUUUUGUAAUUAGUCUUCAGAUGCUUGUUUGUUUAUUUUUUUAAGAGACAGAUUGGUUGUGGACAUAGUCAUAUUGGAACUGAGAUGGUGACAAACUAAGAAAAAUAUGUGGAAGCCAAAUUGUAAUCAGAUAUACUGUGUUAAAAGUCCAGUUUUGAUCCAAAAAUAAUUAAAAAUGAAAUAGAGAAAUAAAUCCUUCCAGAGGAAAGCAAAGCAAUCAAACCAAAAAGUUCUGUUGCUUUCCACUGGGGAUGAAUGCAGCUACAGAACCAUUAAAGUUACCAUGUCAUCUUGGUUAUUAAUAUGGGUCACAGGCAUUAUAGCUUGGUAAGAUUGUCGGAUCUCUUCCUCCUUUUGAAGCUAGCACAGAGCCCUCUACUACCAUAAAUGCUAAUCCUCAAACAGUCCUCCGGUCUGUUCCAGCUCAUGGGUCUUUUGGCUUUGUUUGACUUGCAUGAUGUCUUCAGCAACAGGGGCUUACAUUUCACCUCUGGAGUAAUCAACUGUGUUAUUUUAAUUCACUUAAUCAUAGAAAAAUCCAGCACGGCACGGGAGGAGCAUAGGAUGAUGAGACUCAAAGAAAUGGUCAUGAGUCCACAGGAAAUCUUAAAGUAGAAUUUGGCACAAAAUGUUAUUCUGGAUUUAUAUGUAAGCUUGUGGUCCCAUGAAGAUACUAUUGAUGCAAAUAGUCUUAAUCUUCUGUAAGUAAAAAAUUUAAAAUAUGUUAUAUGGUAUAAUAUGCUUUGAUAUCCUCAAUACAAAUUAAUGAAUGAACAAUGGUAUAUGGACUGAAGCAAGUAAAAUUCCAUCAAAAACUAAUCAUUUGAUAUUUGCUUACAUUAUUGAGAUUGUAUACAAUAGGGUAAUUAUUUUUGCAGAAGUUUGAGAAUUUUCGUACAUAUCAAGUGAAGGAUGAACAAUAUAAAAAAAUUCACAUUUAUCUCUAUUAUAAAAGUCAGUGAUGAGUCUCAUAAUUACGAAAUGUGAAUUUGAAGAAAAGUUAAGAGAGGUUAAAUGCAGUUCACUGUUUUUAUAAAGACAAUUUUGAAAGAAAAUUAACUAUUGACUUAAAAAGCCCAGCUUUUUACUUAAAAUGGGUUUUAUUUCUUUUAUGAGUUUUUUACAUUACGAUAAACCCGAAAACACUCCAUUCCUCAAGUAUGACUGUUUUUAUUUUUGAUUACAUGACUGAGGCACAUUCUAAAAUGAGUCAAGAGGACUGAUCAAGAGUCACCCCACUGGGAAAGGCUUCACUUAGGACAUGUAUCUGUGAAUAGAACAAAUAGAGAGAAAAACAGGUCAAUUUAUCUUGUCAGCAUUUUAAGGAUUUUAGUUGCUGCUUUUCUGAGAUGGAGAGGGCAGUUACAGUUCUUGUUAGUUUUACUUAACUUUUUUUUCAAUUAUCCAUGGAAAAAUCCAUUGGACUUACCUGUUUGGUACACAUUUUUGAUGUUUUCAAUUGGAUUUAUACUUGUUCUGGUCAGGGUCGCAUAUUCUUCCCAAAUUUCUUUAGUAAGACUUGUUCCCUUUGCUAUAUUUCAAGGAGUAAAUGUCAAAAAAGAUAUCCAUGAGAACCUACCCACAAUGUAGAAUCAGCAAGCCUCCAUAGUCACCCAAGUUCUACCUCUAUGCUGAAGCUAGUCACAAAAAUCUUAAUAAAAUUGUGUCACAAUAUAAAGGAUACUUUUAGAAUUUACCAUUAUAUUCAUUUUACAGUUCUUAGGAUAUUGAAGACAAUCAAAAAAGCUUUUCUAUAUUUUCAUUUUAUUUUUUUGCAUUUUCUUCUUUUUCUCCUUCUUCCAGUAGUAGCAGUAUUUAUAAUUUAUUCACUUUGUAUCCCAGUUGUAGUCCCCUCCCUCAUCUCUACCCAGUCCCACCCUCUCUCCCUUUCCUUCUCCCAUAGUUCAGUCAUAGGGGAAGUCCUCCUUUAUUACUUUCUGACCCUAGUCUAUCAGGUCUCAUCAGUACUGCCUGGGCUCACUACUCUGUGGGCUCGCUAUGUCUCCCCACGUUUAGAAACCAUAGAUCAGAUAUGUAUCAUUCAAGACUUGUCAAUGUAUUUCUAAGAAAUUUCCAAGUUGGUAUAAUGUUCUUGUGGAAUGUAUACAAUUUACCCUUGUUCAUUCAAAUGCUGAUUUCUCUACCCCACUAUCUGGUCUCAAUCCUGACAUUGCAUUGUGAUGUUUAUUUUAAGCAUCACCUGUCUCAAGCUUGUGUAAACAUGCCACCAUUUGUUCUUUAUAUUGUCACUUAGACAACCAGCCCCAAUGCUGGGCAAUGGAGAGUAUAGGGUGGGGCAUCCUGGUCCAGAGGGAGAGGAGCAGGAAGCAUGGAGGGAAAGGAGAGAAGUGGGAGAAGUCAGCAGGAAAGAACUUGGAAGCACGUGGGGAAAUGAACUGGACCUAAGAUAUGAGACUAAAAGCGAGUAUAAUGGGUAAAAUCUGAAUGACAGGAAACUAUGCAGGUUUGGAGGUUUAGGAUGGAGUAAUCAUUGCCCAGCAUUGUGCCCUACGUUAAUUAAAAUAAUCCUAGUCUGUUUGGUGAUAUGGGUACACCCCUUGUUUAGGAAUAACUGCUGCUUAACUAAAAGAUAAUAGUAAAUAUUAAAUACCCACAACAAGGCUAUAAUACCAUUGCCACCCAUGCUAUUUCAUUCAUUUUCAGAUAAAGAAUCUAACCCUCCAUGUGCUUGACCAAAAACCAAAGAUACAGUUAAUCAUCUGAACUGACUACCUAGCCCAAAAUAUUCACAGAUUUGUUUGUUUUACAUAUCAGAAUAAUUUUGAAGCCCACCAUAUAUAACAUGGCCACUUACUUUCAAUAAUAUUAAUGUAUUAGAUGAUGUUGUAGAGAUGGACACUGGAAAAUAUCUGUCACUUAUGUUUUUGUGUAGAAAUGAAUGCAGCUGAAGUGGAGGGUAAGACAUACUGCAAGGAGUCACAUCAUCCUUAUUGAGAUAAUUGUGAAGACAUAAAGGAAGGGUAGUUUGAUCAAGUUGUCAUGUCUGACAUCCAUUUCAGUGCAGAUUGUGUUUGUUUAUUUAUGUGGAAUAUCCCAAAGACAUUUUUGUAUGACCCUUAAUGACUGCCUUAAUAUCAUCCUGACAAUAGAAUCAGUAGGCAAAUCUUUUUCGCAGACUCUUAUGGGCACCAUGGAGAAGAUGCAUAUGUAUUGAAAGGAGAAUCUGCAACCUUCAUCCAGUCAUGAUUGCAUUUAAAAACAUUAGUAAAAUAUUUUGUACCAUAUAAUUCCUGCAAUUAAAAUGCAUACAAACUCCCGUGUUCUAAGUAAAAUAUAGAAAAACUAAUUUUAUUCCCUGCAAAAUCAGAUGUACUUACACAAUGCUGUUGAUGGUCUUAUGUCUCUCUGCUUCUCAUGAGUAUACUGUAGAAAAAAUAGCAUGGUCAUAUUUGAUAUAUAAAUAAUUUCAAGCUUAUAUUUAGGUGGAGCUGUGAACAAAGACAAAGUAGCACAUUACUUCAUAAUAUUGAUUCAACUUUUUGUCUUAAAUUGUUUUAACGUAUUUUUAACUGAGUCACUGAUAGUUACCCCUCAGUCCCUAAAAACUCAUACCAAUAUUUUACGUUUUUUUGAAAUUUUGAAUCAUGGAAACAUCUGGUAUCAUCAAACAUACAAUAAAGUAUCAUGUUUUCCACUAUUGCUCAACUGUAACAGAAGCUAUGUGGAUUGAGAUUUGUAAUUUACAUUGUAGAAAUAAUAGCAUGUAUACAGAAGCUAUAAUAUUUCAAGAGAUUCUAAUUACUAUGAAGAAUAUAUAUAUUUGAAUGUACAUAUUUAAUCAAUUGUCAUUCCCAUUUGGUAUUUCUAGCACAUAAACACAUACUACUCUCAAAGACAAUUAAAUUAGUAUCAUCCCAGAUGUACCUGAUAAAAAUUUAGAAAUGUUGAUGACAGAAAUGUUUCUCACUUAUCUGGUGAAGAAAAAAGUUCCAUGGAUUUGUAAUAUAAUUGCUGUUUAAUUAGACAUUUUACUUCUUAUAACCAAAUUAAAUAAGGGUAAAUUAUAAAUGAAUAUCUGAUGACACAUUCCACCCAUCUCUAGCAAAAUGUAGUAUUCAGUUUUGGUCAUGAAGGACUAGUAUUGAAAGAUUAAUUUCACUUUUAUCUGUGUACUUUCACAUUAAACUUUACUAUGAUUAUACAGAAAGUACAUGGUAUUCAAACUCUAUCUUUUGUUAGUUUUACAUAUUUCAUAAAACUCAUGGGGUAAAAUUCAAACAGGAAUUCAUUGAAAACUACAUCUGCAAUGUGUUUCUCUCUUUCAAAGUAGUUGAAAUUCUAGUUGGCUUGACCAUUUUCUGAGUCUGAGUUCUGAGAAGUCUGACUUUAAGUGUGCUAAAAUGAUUUCAUGGUCCUAUCAUUUUCUGUCCAGAAAGAGCUAAGGAUGAAUUGCAACCCAUAGCUGCUAUGAUAAUGCACUGUGAAGCCUUCCAAAUAUGCUUAAUAUAAGGGUUUUUAAAAGUUUAGAGAAUUUUCUAAGUUUUAUGUGGAAU